rnacentral:lncRNA from 1 species
CGGACGGGCUUCGCUCUCCUCCAGCGCCCCCUCUGCCUCCUCGAUGAUGGUGGUGAGCCUGCGGGUCAGGGCUGGCAGGGGCAGGGCCCCCGCGUCGUACUGGGCCAGGAGGUCCUCCCGGACACCCUCGGUCACGUAGGUGGACACCAGGACGUCCCACACGGAGACCUUGCGCCCCCUCCAGUGGCCCACUUUCACCUCCAUGGUGGCGGCCUGCAGCGGGCCCCGUGGACCCAGGCCCUCUCGGGAGGAGGCGUGCCUGUCCGAGCCGAGAGUGGUGGCUCCAGGGCCUCUGCCGUCCCCGGCCUCGAUCACCAGGGUGGUGAGGGUGCUGGUGAGCUCCUGGAUGGACAGGGUGCCCGCUCGGUACUUCCUCAGCAGCGCCUUCCUCUUGCUCUCGGGCACGUCCCUGCAGAACAGCAGCUCCCACACGGACACGGUCUGGCCGCUGAAGAGGCCCCCGUGGACGGUGACCGUGGCCUCCUUCAGGCUGCGCCGCAUCUGCUCGCUCAGCUGGGACACGGCGGAGCCCUUGUCGGCCAGCUGCAACAUGUAGAGGCCGGUGUCGGGGUCCCGGACGCACCUGUGCAUCAGCUGCAUGUAGGUGAGGUUCUCGUGCGUGUUGGGGUCAAAGAAGCCCUUGGUGUCGUCGGAGGGGUCGGACAGGACCUGGCUCAUGUCCUCGUCAAAGUAGCCUCGCUGGAAGGCCACGUCCACGGGCACUCGGUGGCUGUGCACGGGGUCGAUGAUGCCGCCCGUGGCGAUCUGGGCCUCCAGCAACCUCACGCCGUGGUCCCUGACGAUGAGGUCCCUCUUCAUGGCCUGGAAGAGGGAGAUCCGCUCUCCCGUGUACGGGUCGCAGUAGCCGGUGACGGCCUUCUCCGCGGACAGCAGCUUCUCCUGGAUCUCGCCUCCCACCACGCCAGCGGCCACGGCCUCUUCCACGGACAGCUUCUGGUUGCGCAGCGGGUCGAUGACGAAGCCGGUGGCGGCCUGGGCCUCCAGCAGCACCAGCGCCGUGCCGGGCCUCAGGAUGCCCUUCCACAUGGCCUGGUAGAUGCUCAUCUUCUCCUGCUGCGCCGGGUCCGCCUUGGACGGCACCAGCACGCCCGCGAUGCAGCUGGUCCCCUCCAGGUACCUCUUGACCGAGACCAUCUCCUUGACUUCCUGCACGCUCUUGGUGCCCUGGGCCAGGUCCCGCAGGGUGUCCGGGCUCAGGAUGUGGGACUUGGUCAGCUCCUGGACCGUCACUCUCCUCCUCAGGCCCGGGAAGGACACCUUGCUCAGCUUCUCCUCCGACUCCUCGAUGAUGGUGGUGAGGGUGGCGAUGAGGGUCUCCAGGGUCAUGGCGCCAGAGGCGUACUGGGCCAAGAACUCUUCCCUCCUGUCCUCGCUCAGGUAGCUGGAGAAGAGCACGUCCUUCACGGGAACCUUCUGCCCCCUGAGCUGCCCGACUUUCACCUCCAUGGUGGCGGUCCUCAGGACGCCAAGAGCUUCUUCACGGCGGUGGCGGCGGGCGUUCCCCUCGUCGGGAUCCGGCCCCCGUGGGCCCCCCUGGGCUUCCCUCCGCCGACCCCCGUCCGGACGGGCUUCGCUCUCCUCCAGCGCCCCCUCUGCCUCCUCGAUGAUGGUGGUGAGCCUGCGGGUCAGGGCUGGCAGGGGCAGGGCCCCCGCGUCGUACUGGGCCAGGAGGUCCUCCCGGACACCCUCGGUCACGUAGGUGGACACCAGGACGUCCCACACGGAGACCUUGCGCCCCCUCCAGUGGCCCACUUUCACCUCCAUGGUGGCGGCCUGCAGCGGGCCCCGUGGAUCCCGGCCCUCUCCGGAGGAGGCGUGCCUGUCCGAGCCGAGAGCGGUGGCUCCAGGGCCUCUGCCGUCCCUGGCCUCGAUCACCAGGGUGGUGAGGGUGCUGGUGAGCUCCUGGAUGGACAGGGUGCCCGCUCGGUACUUCCUCAGCAGCGCCUGCCUCUUGCUCUCGGGCACGUCCCUGCAGAACAGCAGCUCCCACACGGACACGGUCUGGCCGCUGAAGAGGCCCCCGUGGACGGUGACCGUGGCCUCCUUCAGGCUGCGCCGCAUCUGCUCGCUCAGCUGGGACACGGCGGAGCCCUUGUCGGCCAGCUGCAACAUGUAGAGGCCGGUGUCGGGGUCCCGGACGCACCUGUGCAUCAGCUGCAUGUAGGUGAGGUUCUCGUGCGUGUUGGGGUCAAAGAAGCCCUUG